UCGCGCAUCAGCCAUGGCGCGGUGAAUACGUUCCCGGGCCUUGUACACACCGCCCGUCAAGUCAUGAAAGUGGGCAGCACCCGAAGACGGUGGCCUAACCCUUGUGGGGGGAGCCGUCUAAGGUGAGGCUCGUGAUUGGGACUAAGUCGUAACAAGGUAUC
rnacentral:rRNA from 1 species